rnacentral:lncRNA from 1 species
GUGUUUUUAUUGAUCAUAACUACUUUACAUCUUCAUUAAUGUGGACUGUGCAAAAAUGACAAAUCGUCUUUCAUUCACAGGAAAAUAAAACAAAACAAGACAAAAAAACAUAUUAAAUAUCUGGAAAGAGGGUGUACUAUUAAUUUUUUCUCACUUCACUGACAUGCCAAAACUGAUGCCAUUCAUUACAUGUUUGUUAAUGUUAUGUAUUAUAUGUUUACAGGUGGUCUAUUUGACAGCUACCAAGAUGAGUAGAAAAACACUGACAAUUGCAUUGUUAAGUUUAGUGUUUUGUAGCGCAUCAGCUGAGUCAGCAAACUCACCUACAACUGAAUCUAUGACUGUCACAUCAUACUCACCUGCACAAACGACACAAUUCUGCUUACAACUGACACAACAGCAUAUACAAUACUGUUCAACAACAACUGAAACUCUGUUUACAACCACUGCCAAACCAACACAAACACCUGAAUCAACAAACUCACCUAUAACUGCAACAACUGAAUCUACGACUGUUAGAACAAACACAGCUACAACUAAAACUCGGCUUACAACUACAAGCCUUCCUACAGAAAAAACAACACAACUCACAACUGAGCAAUCAACUACAUCUGAACAAAGCACCACAAUGCAGUCAGCAAAUUCAUCCCUACCUACAACAAGUACAGCUCAAUCUACAACUGAGGUUACAACAAACUCACCCACAACUACAACUCUGCUUACAACUACAGCUCCUCCUACAGAAACAACAACAACACAACUUACAUCUACGGCUGAACCAAAAACCACAACUGCUGCAACAUCUACAACUGAACCAAAAACCACAACUGCUUCAACACCUACAACUGAACAAUCAACUACAUCUGAACAAAGCACCCCAAAGCAGACAACAACAUCAUCCCUACCUACAACAAGUACAGCUCAAUCUACAACCCUGGUUACAACAAACUCACCUACAACUACAUCUCGGAUUACAAUUUCAGCCCCUCCUACAGAAACAACAACAAAACUUACAUCUACAGCUGAACCAACAACCAUAACUGUUUCAACAUCUACAACUGAACUAUCAACUACAUCAGAACAAAGCACCACAACACAGACAGGAACAAAAUCCCUACCUACAACAAGUACAGCUCAAUCUACAACCUGAGGUUACACAAACUCACCUACAACUACAUAACUUCGUAUAAUGUAUGCUAUACGAAGUUAUUACGCAACUGAACUAACAACCACAACUGCUUCAACAUCUACAACUGAACAAUCAACUACAUCUGAACAAAGCACCCCAAUGCAGACAACAACAUCAUCCCUAUCUACAACAAGUACAGCUCAAUCUACAACUGAGGUUACAACAAACUCACCUACAACUACAACCCCUCCUACAGAAACAACAAGACUUACAUCUACUGCUGAACCAACAACCACAACUGCUUCAUCAUCUACAACUGAACUAACAACCAUAACUGCUUCAACACCUACAACUGAACAAUCAACUACAUCUGAACAAAGCAGCCCAAUGCAGACAACAACAUCAUCCCUAUCUACAACAAGUACAGCUCAAUCUACAACUGAGUUACAACAAACUCACCUACAACUGCAACUCUGCUUACAACUCCAGGCCCUCCAACAGAAACAACAACAACACAACUUACAUCUACAACUGAACUAACAACCACAACUGCUUCAACAUCUACAACUGAACAAUCAACUACAUCUGAACAAAGCACCCCAAUGCAGACAACAACAUCAUCCUUACCUACAACAAGUACAGCUCAAUCUACAACCCUG